rnacentral:rRNA from 1 species
GUUGAUCCUGCAGGAGGUUGCUGCUAUAAGGGUUCGACUAAACCAUGCAAGUCAAGGGGGUCGCAAGACCACCGGCGUACUGCUCAGUAACACGUUGAUAAUCUAACCUUUGGUCAAGGACAGCCUCGGGAAACUGAGGGUAAACCUUGAUAAAUGAAUUGUUCUGGAAAGAGGUAUCAUACAAAAGUGAUGCCAAAGGAUGAGUCAGCGGCUGAUUAGGUUGUUGGUGAGGUAACGGCUCACCAAGCCGAAGAUCAGUAGGGGCCUUGAGAGAGGUAGCCCCGAGAAGGGAACUGAGACACUUUCCCUAGCCCUACGGGGUGCAGCAGGUGCGGAACCUCUACAAUGCACGAAAGUGUGAUAGGGGAACCCUUAGUGCUAAUGUUCAACAUUAGCUUUUGUUAAGAGUAAAUAUCUUGGCGAAUAAGUGGUGGGUAAGACUGGUGCCAGCCGCCGCGGUAACACCAGCGCCACAAGUGGCAAUCGUUUUUAUUGGGCCUAAAGCGUUCGUAGCUGGUUAGGUAAAUCUUUUGUGAAAUCGUAAGGCUCAACCUUACGGCGAGCAGAAGACACUGCCAAACUUGGGACCGGGAGAGGCUAGAAGUAUUUUUGGGGGAGCGGUAAAAUGUGAUAAUCCCAGAAGGACUACCUAUGGCGAAGGCAUUUAGCCAGAACGGAUCCGACAGUGAGGGACGAAAGCCAGGGGAGCAAAACGGAUUAGAUACCCGAGUAGUCCUGGCUGUAAACUCUGCGAGCUAGGUGUUGUAUAUUUUUCGUGAAUAUGCAGUAUCGUAGCGAAGGUGUUAAGCUCGCCGCCUGGGAAGUAUGGUCGCAAGGCUGAAACUUAAAGGAAUUGGCGGGGGAGCACCACAAGGAGUGCGGCGUGCGGUUUAAUCUGAUUCCACACGGAGAAUCUCACCAGAAGCGACGGCAGAAUGAAAGUCAGAUUGAAGGUUUUACUUGACGAGCCGAGAGGUGGUGCAUGGCCGCCGUCAGCUCGUGCCGUGAGGUGUCCAGUUAAGUCUGGUAACGAGCCAGACCUGCGUUUACAAUUGCUCCGAGUUCUUUUGAACCUCGAGCACAUUGUAGAGACUGCCUUUGCAAGAAGGAGGAAGGUGCAGGCUACGGUAGGUCUGUAUGCCCCGAAUCUUCUGGGCUACACGCGCGCAACAAUGACAAGGACAAUAGGUUACAACUCCGAAAGGAGAAGUUAAUCCCCUAAACCUUGCCCAAGUUCAGAUUGAGGUUUGUAACUCGGCCUCAUGACGUUGGAAUUCCUAGUAAUCGGAUAUUAUCAGUGUCCGGUGAAUGUGUCCCUGCUCCUUGCACACACCGCCCGUCAAACCAUCCGAGCAUAGUUUAGGUGAGGCUUAAUUUCUUGAUUAGGUCGAACCUAAGCUAAGUGAGGCGGGUUAAGUCGUCACAAGGUA